rnacentral:rRNA from 2 species
UUAGAGGGUUUCCGCCCUUUAGUGCUGCAGCAAACGCAUUAAGCACUCCGCCUGGGGAGUACGGUCGCAAGACUGAAACUCAAAGGAAUUGACGGGGGCCCGCACAAGCGGUGGAGCAUCUGGUUUAAUUGGAAGCAACGCGAAGAACCUUACCAGGUCUUGACAUCCUUCGUUAUUUCUAGAGAUAGAAGGUUCCCCUUCGGGGGACGAAGUGACAGGUGGUGCAUGGUUGUCGUCAGCUCGUGUCGUGAGAUGUUGGGUUAAGUCCCGCAACGAGCGCAACCCUUGAUCUUAGUUGCCAGCAUUCAGUUGGGCACUCUAAGGUGACUGCCGGUGACAAACCGGAGGAAGGUGGGGAUGACGUCAAAUCAUCAUGCCCCUUAUGACCUGGGCUACACACGUGCUACAAUGGAUGGUACAAAGGGCUGCAAGACCGCGAGGUCAAGCCAAUCCCAUAAAACCAUUCUCAGUUCGGAUUGCAGGCUGCAACUCGCCUGCAUGAAGCCGGAAUCGCUUGUAAUCGCGGAUCAGCAUGCCGCGGUGAAU